rnacentral:tRNA from 1 species
UGGCUCAGUCGGUUGAGCAUCUGACUUCAGCUCAGGUCAUGAUCUCACGGUUUGUGGGUUCAAGCCCCGC